UUUUCCUUUUCUGAGAAAAACAAGACUAAGUUCAUCUUCUUAGUUCUCUCUUUCUAUCUUUUAGAUCUCUUUGUAUUGGUUUUUGGGCAAAUCAACUACAACGUGAAAGCCAUUCAACGUGGAGUCUUCUUAAAUCUUCCUAGACAGCCUCUCUCUCAGAUCGUGCAGCUAAGGAGAUCUCUCCAAGUUAGUCUCUCUCUCUCUCUCUCCAAACUCUUCAUUUUCUAAGAAAAACCAACGGCGAACUUGGUUUAUCUUCCUGUUUCUCUCUACCUUUCUCUCAGAACUUUGUUCACUCUCAAAACUACCCACACACAAACAAAGAGAGUGAGAGAGAGAGAGAGAGAGGCAAAAGGCUCUGAUUGCUUUUUGGAGUUGUUGGAGGACAUUAUUUUUCAUGUAGAGGCCAUUCAAUUGGCUGCAUGUGGAGGACAUUAUCUGCUUUAACUGUUCUGCAGCAAGAGAGAGACGAUCAAGCUGAGAGCAAUAGAGAGAAAUCGAGAGAGAACCGAAAGAGAGAGUUUGUGUCUGGCGGUUGAAGGCCGUUGCACCACCUCGUUCCUAUGCCGGCCACCAUGCAGCUGGGGAGAGAGACAGGUGUAGUGGUUAAGGCAGAAAGCUUGGAAUCGUUUUUGUUUGCUACCACUCUCUGUCCAUGGACGAGUUGAUAGUUAAUGUAGAUGAAGGUUCACUUGAUGUGAACCUAAAUCUGAUGAAUAUUGCAUCAGAUGAUGAUGAUGGACUUACAAGUCUUGAAUCACCUGAUGGAGAUGCUGUCCAGCGUAUCCCCAGUGGGGAAAGUGCUUGUGCGGUUGAGGAGGUUCAUGAGGGUAAUGAUCCUCAAAAGCAUGCUUAUGAAAGGAAGCCAAGGAAGAUGACCUCUCUAAUUUGGAAUGACUUUAAGGAAUUACUGCAAUCUGGUGUGAAGAAAGCUCUGCAUUCACUGUAAAUCUAUCCUUGGCAUUCCUGCUUCGGGCGCCACAACUCAAUUUCAUAGGCACUUGAAUAGCUGCAUUCCACGCAUAGCAGCUAGCAAGAAGCAGAAGGUGAUUACAUUUGACUCUGAUUGUAGCAGUGUGGGCUCCGCAUCAUGUUUUACUUAUGAUCAUAAGAAGAUACUUGGUAUGGAAGUGGAUUGGAACUAUUCUGGAAGUGUUGUAUUUGGGGAAGUUUUUAUACUUGGUAUGGAAGUGGAUUGGAACUAUUCUGGAAGUGUUGUAUUUAGGGGAAGUUUUUGUUAGUAUUUUGUAAGCUCAUGGUGAAGAAGUUAAUCAUUGCCUCCUGGGGGAUUUGCUGCACUGCUAUAAUGCCAUGUAUUUAAACUUGUUUAUUUUGUAAGCUUGACAAUUGGACUUAAUUUUUUUUAAUGCUUGUGUUCUGUAGUGUAGACUGUGUAGUUUACUAGUUUAUGUUAUUUUGUGUAUGUUAAGAUGUUAUAUUGUUAGCUUGAAGCUUUGCAAGCUGGCAGCCUUGGUAGGUUAACUAUUGACUAGUUUUUGUUGGAAUUCUUGAGAUGGGGACUAUCCAUCCACAUGGAAAUGCUACUGGAUUUGUUUUUGUGAAUGCUAGACUUGCUAGUUUAUUGUUAGAAGUUAGAACUUAGAUAACUUAGAUAACUUUGAUUUCUAGUUCAUGUUGUUUUCUAUGUUUGUAUAUUUGGAUG